AUGUGAUCGUCUCUCGCAUAUCAAUAAGCGGAGGAAAAGAAACUGACAAGGAUUCCCCUAGUAACGGCGAGUGAAGCGGGAAGAGCUCAAAUUUGAAAUCUUAAAGGGUUUCCCUUUACGAAUUGUAGUUUAAAGAAGUGUUUUCUGUUGAGGUUUUGGUAAAAGUUCUUUGGAAUAGGACAUCAUAGAGGGUGAGAAUCCCGUAUUUGACCUUUACUUUCAACUUUGUGAUACACUUUCAAAGAGUCGGAUUGUUUGGGAAUGCAGUCCAAAAUGGGUGGUAAAUUUCAUCUAAAGCUAAAUAUUGGCGAGAGACCGAUAGCGAACAAGUACCGUGAGGGAAAGAUGAAAAGAACUUUGAAAAGAGAGUUAAACAGUACGUGAAAUUGUCAAAAGGGAAGCGUUUGACACCAGUGUUGUUUUUCUGAAAAUCAAUUAAAGAACUGUUUAUGCUAAGCUGUUUAGACUUUAUCAGCUAACUGUUUAGUUUUGAGCUUUUCUUUAAUGCACUUUUCAGUUAACAAGUCAACAUCAAUUUCUUUUGCUGUAAAAAAGCUUGAGGAAGGUGGCUUGAGAUUCGUCUUAAGUGUUUAUAGCCUCUUGCCUAUGCAGUCGGAGAGAUUGAGGUCUGCAGCGUAGAUCCUUCGGGGCUAAAUGCAUUUGUGCUAAGUUAUAGCAUUUUAUAGACAACUUGUUGACUAUGAUUUGUCUUGUAGCUUACUCGCUUAUGUUAUUUACCUACGCUUAGGAUGUUGACUGAUAUGUAGUCGUA
rnacentral:rRNA from 1 species